GGCUAGAGACGGGCUAAGAGACGUGGUGAGGCGUGGUGUGUAAGCGGUAUUCGCAUCCAUGGGGCGUAAGCGCGGCGGAGGCGGGCCGCCCGGUCGGGAGGCAAAGCCGGGGGGUCAACCCCCGGUCGGUCCCGAUACCGGCCGGCUGGAGUCUGGCAGGGGAAGGCGGAAGUCCCGGUGUAGCGGUGGAAUGCGCAGAUAUCGGGAAGAACACCGGUGGCGAAGGCGGCCUGCUGGGCCACGACUGACGCUGAGGCGCGAAAGCUAGGGGAGCGAACAGGAUUAGAUACCCUAGUAGUC
rnacentral:rRNA from 1 species